CCAGCUGCUUGGGUUUUAGUUGAUGCCAGACAUAGUCAAGUUGACAGCCAAGAUUAGCCAUCACACCAGUGUUCUAUCCUGUUGAAUCCAAUUCUGUAGGUCCUGAGGGAGUCAAACAAGUUAGCAGAAAUGGAGGAGCCAGCCCUGCUUCCAGGAGAGAACAUUAAAGAUAUGGCCAAAGAUGUGACUUACAUAUGUCCGUUCACCGGUGCUGUACGAGGGACGCUGACAGUCACAGAUUACAGAUUAUAUUUCAAAAGCAUGGAGCGGGACCCCCCAUUUGUUCUAGAUGCUUCUCUUGGAGUGAUAAGUAGAGUAGAAAAAAUUGGUGGUGCAUCUAGCCGAGGUGAAAACUCUUAUGGCCUGGAAACUGUGUGCAAGGAUAUCAGGAACUUAAGAUUUGCACAUAAACCGGAGGGUCGAACAAGAAGAUCCAUAUUUGAGAAUCUAAUGAAAUAUGCAUUUCCUGUGUCUAAUGGCUUGCCUCUUUUUGCUUUUGAGUAUAAAGAAGUAUUUCCCGAAAAUGGGUGGAAACUGUAUGACCCCCUUCUAGAGUACAGAAGGCAGGGAAUUCCAAAUGAAAGCUGGAGAAUAACAAAGAUAAAUGAACGCUAUGAACUCUGUGACACAUAUCCUGCCCUCUUGGUUGUGCCAGCAAACAUUCCUGAUGAGGAGCUAAAGAGAGUGGCAUCCUUUAGGUCACGGGGCCGGAUCCCAGUUUUAUCCUGGAUUCAUCCUGAAAGUCAAGCCACAGUCACUCGCUGCAGCCAGCCCAUGGUUGGAGUGAGCGGGAAGCGCAGCAAAGAGGAUGAAAAGUACCUUCAGGCCAUCAUGGAUUCCAAUGCCCAGUCUCACAAAAUAUUUAUAUUUGAUGCUCGGCCAAGUGUCAAUGCUGUUGCCAAUAAGGCAAAGGGGGGAGGUUAUGAAAGUGAAGAUGCCUAUCAAAAUGCAGAACUCGUUUUUCUGGAUAUUCAUAAUAUCCAUGUUAUGAGAGAAUCAUUACGGAAGCUUAAGGAGAUUGUGUACCCCAACAUUGAAGAAACUCACUGGCUGUCUAACUUAGAAUCUACACACUGGCUGGAACACAUUAAGCUCAUUCUUGCAGGGGCUCUUAGGAUUGCUGACAAGGUUGAGUCUGGGAAGACGUCCGUGGUGGUGCACUGCAGUGACGGGUGGGAUCGCACAGCUCAGCUCACUUCCCUGGCCAUGCUCAUGUUGGAUGGGUACUACCGAACCAUACGAGGAUUUGAAGUCCUUGUGGAGAAAGAAUGGCUGAGUUUUGGACACAGAUUCCAACUCAGAGUUGGCCAUGGAGAUAAGAACCAUGCUGAUGCAGACAGGUCACCUGUUUUCCUUCAGUUUAUUGACUGUGUCUGGCAAAUGACAAGACAGUUCCCUACCGCGUUUGAAUUCAAUGAGUAUUUUCUCAUUACCAUCCUGGACCACCUGUACAGCUGUUUAUUUGGGACAUUCCUCUGUAACAGCGAACAGCAGAGGGGGAAGGAGAAUCUUCCUAAGAAGACAGUGUCACUGUGGUCCUAUAUAAACAGCCAGCUGGAAGACUUUACUAAUCCUCUUUAUGGAAGCUACUCCAAUCAUGUCCUUUACCCAGUAGCCAGCAUGCGCCACUUAGAGCUCUGGGUGGGAUAUUAUAUAAGGUGGAACCCCCGGAUGAAACCUCAGGAACCUAUCCACAGCAGAUACAAAGAACUUCUUGCCAAAAGAGCAGAGCUUCAAAGAAAAGUAGAGGAACUUCAGAGAGAAAUUUCCAACCGCUCAACCUCCUCUUCAGAGAGAGCCAGCUCUCCUGCACAGUGUGUGACUCCUGUCCAAACUGUUGUAUGAAAGGACUAGGUCAGGGGCAUCAUUGCCAGGAACUUGACAUUCCAGCACCUUAUGGGUAGAAAGCCUUCCGUGUUUAAAACCCAUCUAUUGGAGAAUCCUUCAGAUGCUGUAUUUAUUUCAAAUCUCUCUUAGAUGAGUUUAGAAACAUAGCAGUGCAAGUGACAAUGAAGAUGAUCUCAUUCAUAAGUAAAGUAUGACACUAAUCUUAAGUCACCCAAAGAAUACUAAAGUACUGCAGUCCUGUAUUCACACUGGGAGCAAGUUUUCCAUUUAAAAAUGUCUUAAAAACCUGAGCACCUGGUAAGAUCUCUAGGGGGAAGCAAGGGCACCUGCUGUUGCACCUGAGAGCGUACAUAUUGAGACUUGUGUCAGAUCCAAAUGCUCCUUUCUCAGUUUCCCCAAUUUUUGUGAUAUUUAAUAUAGUAAAAAGCAUUGUCUUGAGAUUAUUAUGGCAUAGUAGUAGUUAAAAAUUGCUGCUGACAUUGUAAUUAGCAUAUUUUCAACAGCAAUUAGGAAACAAUGCCUUAUAUAUGUGCUUUGGGGGGUUGAAGGGACAAAGUAGUAGCUGUCAUCUAGGAGCUCAAAAAAUAUUCCAUAACCCUCAGCCUAAUUUCUGUAUACUGAUCACAGACAUCACAGAAGAUAUCUUAAAACCUUACUGUUAUUCCACUUUGUCUUAAUGCUAUUUGGCAAGUUUUAAGACAGUAUUUUAAAAACUUCCAAGUCUGACCUUAUGUGCUGUUUAAAUCUCACAUGGACACUUUACCAAAGAACACUCUGCACGUGAGUUACUCUCAGUGCCAGCAGGUAAAACCUUGCCUCUCUGCUCUCCCGAGUCCGGUGCUGGUGUGAACGUUGACUCCUGGUGUCUGUUUUACUCUGUAAGAGCCAUAUGUAAUGUACUGUAACAAACAAGCUCCUUACCACUGAGUCUUUUAAUUAAAUGACUUCAAACUUUGUCCUUGUCCACAGUCAUCUACAGUAUCCUCCCCACCCCCAAAAUGUUAACCUGGAAGUACCCAGUUUGAGCCCACCUGUCUUUGACACCUAAAAUCAAACUGUAAAAACCAUUGUUCUGUAACUCAUUGUUUGAACUGUAGUCCUGUUGUUGACUUUGGAAUUAGUAUAUCACAUGUAUAUGCAUGCACACAGUUCUCCUCGUCCAUACACUUUUUAAAUUUAUUAUUAUUGCUUAUAUAUUUUACCUGGAUAUUGAGCUCAGAGCCUCACACUUGCCAGGCAAAUGCUGUAUUAUUGAAUAUACUCCAGCAUACCCAGUAUUUACAAAAAUUGGUACCAAAUAAUUUGUUUGGUGUAUACCUAGCUAUAAAAAUGUUUUUGAGGAGGUAUUUAUGUUCCCAGCAUUCAAGUAAGGUUUGUGUAAUAGUUCACUUUCCUUGUUACCGUCUUGGUAUGACAUAAAAGGGAUGCUGAUCAUACAGUCACUCAGAAGGCAGAGAAAUACAUCCCUCCAAAACCUUCAAAUGUUUUCUGUGACCUCCAAGAAAUCAUCAGUGUGGAAUGUGCACACUAAAAGUGCUUAUGUGGAAUUCAACUGCAUUCCUGGUAUAUUCACACACACACACACGCCAGCAUGAAAUCAGUGAAAGCACUCCUUUCUUAGGAAGCAUGGGAUCCACGCUGGCAUCUUGUACAAAAUACAAGGGAGCUCUGCUGAGAGUGAGUGAACAAGAAACUGAAGCAGAAUCAAAACCCAAAGCCUACAGUUGGAAUCCAGCUGGACAUAGGUCUCUGUUUGGCCAGAUCCUUCUUACUUGCGGUCCUUGUGACUCCAGAUGAACGGCUGCUGCUGUGCCCGUCCUCAUCAAGAGU